ensembl:lncRNA
GUAGGGGUGGGCGCUCCAAUUGCCAAUGAACCUGUUUGAUUGACAUUGUAAGUCUGUAGCGCAGCGCAUGCUGUGCCCAUCGCAGCAAGUGUUAUAAAAGGCUGCUAUUAUAUGCAAGCGAAAUAUCUAAGUAGAUAAAUGAUUGAGAAAUCAAAACACCAUUCGAGGAAGUAGCUAUACCACAUACCUACAUUUACUCCGACCGUCACCACCCCGAAAGGAAGAAUUUGUGCAAGUUUAAUUAAGAACGUGACUAAUUCGUAAACUAGAGGAUUUGACCGAGGGAAAACGACUGCAUUUGUUGUGACCUUGUGAAGGUUUAAUCAAAAUGUACGACCUGCUCAAUACGCCUUGGGUUCUAUCCACCAGACGGACUAUGGAAUGGAGUUGCGCCCUCUGGCUCAGAGAGAUUCGGUUUUUUGUCCCGCGGACCUUUCCUCCUCUGCUGGGCGGAAUUGGGGUUUGUUGCUGAGGUGGUGGGGAGUAAAUUAAAGAUUUGUUCUAGUGAGAUUGGCUCAAUGUCAAAUUGAACCUCUCACUACCAAGCCUUUCUUUUUGACCACUGUAAUACAUGAAGAGCCAUCCGUUAUCGCUCUCUCACUGCUCUGGAUGCAAUCAUAUCUGAUGUUCAUGCCUUUAUCCUCACAACAAAUAAAUAUAUAUUUUUGAGGAUAGCCUUAUACUUACGCUCUCGGUGGAUUCGUGACCUUCCCCCAGUCAAGUUAUAUUGUUCGUCUCCUUGCCUUUAUUAUGAUAUAGACCUAGGUUGCACGGCAACCAACACUGACUCCUUUCUUUUGGAAGCUAAUGAUUCGUGAGUUCAGCUAUACACUCCUACUGUUCUAAUGCAACAAAAUGUGGCAGGUUUCUCAGGUGAACGCAUUGCUACGGAAACAUGAUAUUUUUUUUGUUUUGGUUGAUUCUUCUUUCAAGCUAUCAAGCAUAGAUUUUCUCAACUUCUCUCAACCUCAGCCCACAAACAGAAUACUUUCAUCUGAAAGAACCGAGCCAGUGCAUAGAUAACAGACAUUGCUCUUAAAAUCACUGUCGCUUUUCAAGCAAUACAUUUUUUUGUCCAGUAUAUUGAGUAUAAAUUGAUGUUUCAUGCAGGUAUCCUUAGUUUCCACUUUCAUUUUAUCCAAGCUUUGAUCAUUUUUAUGUCAUUCCUGAACCAAAAGAAUGUGUGCUAACUUGGCAGUAUGUGAAUUAAACCUCCAGUUAUUCUGAGGGAUGAUAUCCAUGGCUUGGAGGGUAUGAUGGUUCUCCUGCAGAAGGUCACAUCCUUGGAUUGUUUUUGUUCUUCAAAGUCAUUGGAGAGAGCCAGUAGAUCCGGUAACUAGCCGAGAAGAAGAAGCAAUCAUCUGGUUAUCUGCUAUCUGGAGAAAGAGAGACACACACAUAGUAAAAAAAAUAUCAAGAAUUCUGUAACAAUGCAAAGUAUGAGGAGGACAAUGUGUCAGCUUUCCACUUAAGACUCUGGUUUCAUUGGCUCUGACCUUGCUUAUAAUAAGACAUGAAGGACUGAGAUGCAAUACCGCAAUACCGUAGCUAGAUGUUGACCUUGAAUGAUAGUUUUCUCGUUUUCUGAGUUUAUGUGUCAGUAAAACUGUUAGUUUUAUCGUCUUACCAUCUGUUAUUGUCUAAAAAGUUUAUGCCUUAUUAUUCUAAAGACACAAAGUACUUUAUUUGGUGAUAAAAAAAACAUUAUUGUUCUUUUCCUUUAUAUCUUUUUCAAUUAGUCAUUUUCCAACCCUCAUUAAAAUCACUGUUUGUCAUUG